CCAUCCUGGGUGAGGGGGUUCCCACAAGCAGGAAGUAAAUCUGGAUCCCAGCAGUCAAGUUCAGGAGAGCAAGGCCAUCCACUCGGAGCACGCCAGGCUCCCAUCCCCAGCGGCCAAUGGACCGG